AUGCUCAGGCCGAGCAGAGGGGCCACAUCCCCUUGUUGUCCUCCCGCUAGUCAAGAGAAGGACCACCGCCCGCCACCAGCACAGAUCUGGAAGGGAGGCCACCAUGGCGGCCAGGCGGGCAGCUGGAUCUCAGGCCACCCAGAAGCACGGCUAGGACGGCGGCCGUCAUGGCCGAUGCCACAGAGGCCAGAUCCGGGGCCGAGCACCGCGCCAGGAGAGGUUGUCGGGGAGGAGGGUCACCGUCGGGAGGAGAGAAGGGGCAUGCAGCCGCACAGGGGAGCACGCAGGGACGCCCUGCCGCUGCCAACAACUGCACGGGCGAAGCCCGGGACGGCCGCCGCCGACGGCGGAGGGAGGAGGAAGGUGGCGGGGGUGGCCUUGCGCCGGAUCUUAUAA
rnacentral:rRNA from 1 species